UUCCGGUUGAUCCUGCCGGACCCCACUGCUAUCGAGGUGGGACUAAGCCAUGCUAGUUGAGCGCACAGAACUAUGUCUGUGAGCGGCACACUGCUCAGUAACACGUAGCUAACCUACCCUUAGGACGUGGACAACCCCGAGAAAUUGGGGCUAAUCCACGAUAGAUGUAAUGUCCUGGAAUGGUAUUACGUCCAAAGGUAUCCCAUACAUGUUUGGUAUACGCCUAAGGAUGGGGCUGCGGCCGAUCAGGCAGUUGGUGAGGUAAUGGCUCACCAAACCUUUGACCGGUACGGGCCAUGAGAGUGGUAGCCCGGAGAUGGACACUGAGACAAGGGUCCAGGCCCUACGGGGCGCAGCAGGCGCGAAACCUCCUCAAUGCACUUACGUGCGAAGGGGCUACCUCGAGUGCCACCUGAUGAAGGUGGCUUUUCCUAGGUCUAAAAAGCCUUGGGAAUAAGAGGGGGGCAAGACUGGUGUCAGCCGCCGCGGUAACACCAGCCCCUCGAGUGGUGGGGAUGAUUAUUGGGCCUAAAGCGUCCGUAGCCUGCCGUAUAAGUUUCCCGUUAAGUCCAGCGUCUUAAGCGUUGGACGGCGGGAAAUACUGUACGGCUAGAGAGUGAGAGAGGUUAGCGGUAUUCUGGGGGUAGGGGCGAAAUCCUUUGAUCCCCGGAGGACCACCAGUGGCGAAGGCUGCUGACUAGAACACGUCUGACGGUCAGGGACGAAAGCU
rnacentral:rRNA from 1 species